GAUGAACGCUGGCGGCGUGCCUAAUACAUGCAAGUAGAACGCUGAAGGAGGAGCUUGCUCUUCUGGAUGAGUUGCGAACGGGUGAGUAACGCGUAGGUAACCUGCCUGGUAGCGGGGGAUAACUAUUGGAAACGAUAGCUAAUACCGCAUGACAACAGUUAUUGCAUGAUAACUGUUUAAAAGGGGCAACUGCUCCACUACCAGAUGGACCUGCGUUGUAUUAGCUAAUUGGUGAGGUAACGGCUCACCAAGGCGACGUUACAUAGCCGACCUGAGAGGGUGAUCGGCCACACUGGGACUGAGACACGGCCCAGACUCCUACGGGAGGCAGCAGUAGGGAAUCUUCGGCAAUGGACGGAAGUCUGACCGAGCAACGCCGCGUGAGUGAAGAAGGGUUUCGGAUCGUAAAGCUCUGUUGUAAGAGAAGAACGAGUGUGAGAGUGGAAAGUUCACACUGUGACGGUAUCUUACCAGAAAGGGACGGCUAACUACGUG
rnacentral:rRNA from 1 species